UUUUGAAUUAAAUAUUAUUCUCAGAUUAUUCUCCGAAGGAGUACUACAUACAGAGACAAUAUGCACAGUACAAUAGAUCGAAAAAAUGUCACGAGUGUCUGUUGAUAAUCGUUAUUCGAAUGUUACAUAACUAUUCAGAAGACACUGUAGUUAACAGCACUAUUCUAUCAGAUUAUUUCUUUAAAAAUAUCGUUAUAUCAAAAUAUCACAAUAAGUGUUUAAUUUGACCCAUCAAUGAUUAAUUUUUUAAAGUUAUUUCUUUAAAUUAUAUUUUAUAAUGCAAAGAAGUAACCAGUGACUAUGAGAUCAUGAUACACUAAUUGCGUAUAGUUCAUAUAUUUUUGUACGACGGAAUAGGAAUAAAGAUACAUAUGUAUCAAUAUAUUAAUGUUUAUCAAUAUAUUAGUUUACUAAAAAAUCGAUUCAAAAGGAACAAUAAGGAUUAAUGAAUGAUACAUCGAGAAUAUCUUUUUUCUUUACGAUGUAAGGGAACAUGUUUUACACAUAAGUAUUGAAACCUUGAAUGCCGCUUGACGGAACCAAUGUAAUCUGACCGUGGAAAAACACGAUCUUUAAAUAACUAUAAUCUUUAUCUUUUAUUAUUUUCAUUAAAAUAUCUAAUAUGAUAAAAAAUAUAUACAAUAUAAUCCAUGUCAUGUAUCCAUGAAUGUAUCAAAUCCAUUUGUGUAUCAAAUCUUUAUAAAAAAUUAAUUCAUUUCUUGGUGUUUAUUUUUACUUCUUAAAUCGAAAAAAUUAUGUAUUUAAAAUUUUAUAAAUAACAGAAAGAAUGUAAGGUAUAAAGUAAUUUUAAAAAAUAAAUUAAUAUAUGUGUAAUAUGAUAUAUGUAUAUACAUAUUACGCACAAAAACAAAUAUUAAAAGUUCCGAGUUACAUGUAUAAUGUUAUUUGUAUAAUUUAAUAAUGCUCUCCUAUAAUUUAAUCAUGCACGAACAAAUAUUUGUGUAUAUAUUCGCAAUAUACGGGUAACAUGUGAUUGAAAAUGGACUCUUAAUAGGAACGUGUCAUAGUACUAAGUUAAUAAAACAAAAUUGGACUUUUAUUGUAAUAAAAACAACUUUCAAUAACAUA